GAAAUGCGAUAAGUAAUGUGAAUUGCAGAAUUCAGUGAAUCAUCGAAUCUUUGAACGCACAUUGCGCCCGCCAGUAUUCUGGUGGGCAUGCCUGUUCGAGCGUCAUUUCAACCAUCAAGCCCCCGGCUUGUGUUGGGGACCUGCGGCUGCCCGCAGGCCCUGAAAACCAGUGGCGGGCUCGCUGUCACACCGAGCGUAGUAGCAUACAUCUCGCUCAGGGCGUGCUGCGGGUUCCGGCCGUUAAAAGCCUUUUUUACCCAAGGUUGACCUCGGAUCAGGUAGGAAGACCCGCUGAACUUAAGC
rnacentral:misc_RNA from 1 species